rnacentral:rRNA from 1 species
ACGCUGGCGGCGUGCCUAAUACAUGCAAGUAGAACGCUGAAGGAGGAGCUUGCUUCUCUGGAUGAGUUGCGAACGGGUGAGUAACGCGUAGGUAACCUGCCUGGUAGCGGGGGAUAACUAUUGGAAACGAUAGCUAAUACCGCAUAAGAGUAGAUGUUGCAUGACAUUUGCUUAAAAGGUGCAAUUGCAUCACUACCAGAUGGACCUGCGUUGUAUUAGCUAGUUGGUGGGGUAACGGCUCACCAAGGCGACGAUACAUAGCCGACCUGAGAGGGUGAUCGGCCACACUGGGACUGAGACACGGCCCAGGCUCCUACGGGAGGCAGCAGUAGGGAAUCUUCGGCAAUGGACGGAAGUCUGACCGAGCAACGCCGCGUGAGUGAAGAAGGUUUUCGGAUCGUAAAGCUCUGUUGUAAGAGAAGAACGAGUGUGAGAGUGGAAAGUUCACACUGUGACGGUAUCUUACCAGAAAGGGACGGCUAACUACGUGCCAGCAGCCGCGGUAAUACGUAGGUCCCGAGCGUUGUCCGGAUUUAUUGGGCGUAAAGCGAGCGCAGGCGGUUAGAUAAGUCUGAAGUUAAAGGCUGUGGCUUAACCAUAGUACGCUUUGGAAACUGUUUAACUUGAGUGCAAGAGGGGAGAGUGGAAUUCCAUGUGUAGCGGUGAAAUGCGUAGAUAUAUGGAGGAACACCGGUGGCGAAAGCGGCUCUCUGGCUUGUAACUGACGCUGAGGCUCGAAAGCGUGGGGAGCAAACAGGAUUAGAUACCCUGGUAGUCCACGCCGUAAACGAUGAGUGCUAGGUGUUAGACCCUUUCCGGGGUUUAGUGCCGUAGCUAACGCAUUAAGCACUCCGCCUGGGGAGUACGACCGCAAGGUUGAAACUCAAAGGAAUUGACGGGGGCCCGCAC